AUACGGAGGAUCCGAGCGUUAUCCGGAUUUAUUGGGUUUAAAGGGUGCGCAGGCGGGAGAUUAAGUCGGCGGUGAAAUUUUGCCGCUCAACUGUAAAAGGGCCUUCGAAACUGGUUUCCUUGAGUGGAGAUGAAGUAGGCGGAGUUUGGGGUGGAGCGGUGAAAUGCAUAGAUAUCACGAGGAACUCCGAUUGCGCAGGCAGCUUACUAAACUACUACUGACGCUCAGGCACGAAGGCGUGGGGAUCAAACAGGAUUAGAUACCCUGGUAGUCCACGCAGUAAACGAUGAUUACUAGCUGUUUGCGAUACAAUGUAAGCGGCUGAGCGAAAGCGUUAAGUAAUCCACCUGGGGAGUACGUUCGCAAGAAUGAAACUCAAAGGAAUUGACGGGG
rnacentral:rRNA from 1 species